UACAGAGGGUGCAAACGUUGUUCGGAAUUACUGGGCGUAAAGCGCGUGUAGGCGGCUCUGCAAGUCGGAUGUGAAAUCCCACGGCUCAACCAUGGAAGUGCAUUCGAAACUGCAGGGCUAGAGUCCUGGAGAGGAAGGUGGAAUGCUUGGUGUAGAGGUGAAAUUCGUAGAUAUCAAGCGGAACACCGGUGGCGAAGGCGGCCUUCUGGACAGUGACUGACGCUGAGACGCGAAAGCGUGGGGAGCAAACAGG
rnacentral:rRNA from 1 species